GAUGAAGAACGUAGCGAAAUGCGAUACUUGGUGUGAAUUGCAGAAUCCCGUGAACCAUCGAGUCUUUGAACGCAAGUUGCGCCCGAAGCCAUCAGGUUGAGGGCACGUCUGCCUAGGCGUCACAUAUCGUUGCCCAAUGCCUAUUGCAGUGCAAUAGGAAUUUCUAGGGCGAAUGAUGGCUUCCCGUGAGCGUUGUUGCCUCGCGGUUGGUUGAAAAUCGAGUCCUUGGUAGGGUGUGCCAUGGUGGAUGGUGGUCGAGUUAGAACGAUACCGAUCAUGUGCAUGCUCCCCAAAAUAUGGCCUCUAUGACCCACACGCGUCUUUUGACGCUCAUGACGAGACCUCAGGUCAGGCGGGGCUACCCGCUGAAUUUAAGCAUAUCGAUAAGCGGAGGA
rnacentral:misc_RNA from 1 species